AGGGCACGUCUGCCUGGG
rnacentral:siRNA from 1 species